rnacentral:rRNA from 1 species
UACGUAGGGGGCAAGCGUUGUCCGGAUUUAUUGGGCGUAAAGCGCACGCAGGCGGUCUCUUAAGUUUCGAGUGACAGGUGGUGGCUCAACUGCCACAGGCCUUGGAAAACUGGGAGACUUGAGGACUUCAGGAGGGAUGCGGAAUUCCAGGUGGAGCGGUGAAAUGCGUAGAGAUCUGGAAGAACACCAAAGGCGAAGGCAGCAUCCUGGGAAGUAACUGACGCUCAUGUGACGAAAGGCUAGGGGAGCGAACCGGG